GAGGGAGAGAAGAGGGACGGCGAGAGAAGCUGAGAACGUGGACAGCAACGUUUCUGAACCGUGUUCAUCACCAAAGCUUCUUCUUUUCAGACCAAGAACCCAAGAUGGUCGUGAAGAUAAUGGCGAUGACUCAUUCUUGGGAGUUGAUGCUACGUGACGUGCCAAUACCGGAGGACGACUACACUUCAGAGGAAGAGGAAGAGGCUAAGGAAUAGGGUUUUGGUUGAGAGUCUUUUGUUUUCUGUUGGGGUUGAGAGUUUCCGAAGUGUUGGUAUCGAACAAUUUUAUUGCUUAAAUUCGAAUGAACAAGUUUUGAUGUAAUCUUUAUUUUCAUUCAGGCCUUUGA